rnacentral:rRNA from 1 species
AAUGCAUGGGUAACCUGUCCUUGAGAAGGGAAUAACCCACCGAAAGGUGAGCUAAUACCCUAUACGUUUCACUUUUUUUGGAAAGUGAAAGAAAGCUAGGCCGAGGGCCUGGCGCUCGUGGAGGGGCUCAUGUCCUAUCAGCUUGUUGGUGGGGUAACGGCCUACCAAGGCAACGACGGGCAGCUGGUCUGAGAGGAUGAUCAGCCACACUGGCACUGAGAUACGGGCCAG